AACGAACGCUGGCGGCAUGCCUAACACAUGCGAGUCGAACGAGACCUUCGGGUCUAGUGGCGCACGGGUGCGUAACGCGUGGGAACCUGCCCUUAGGUUCGGAAUAACUCCCCGAAAGGGGUGCUAAUACCGGAUAAUGUCUUCGGACCAAAGAUUUAUCGCCUUUGGAUGGGCCCGCGUUGGAUUAGCUAGUUGGUAGGGUAAAAGCCUACCAAGGCGACGAUCCAUAGCUGGUCUGAGAGGAUGAUCAGCGACACUGGGACUGAGACACGGCCCAGACUCCUACGGGAGGCAGCAGUGGGGAAUAUUGGACAAUGGGCGAAAGCCUGAUCCAGCAAUGCCGCGUGAGUGAUGAAGGCCUUAGGGUUGUAAAGCUCUUUUACCCGGGAUGAUAAUGACAGUACCGGGAGAAUAAGCUCCGGCUAACUCCGUG
rnacentral:rRNA from 1 species